UACGAAGGGAGCUAGCGUUGUUCGGAAUUACUGGGCGUAAAGGGCGCGUAGGCGGUUUGACAAGUCAGGUGUGAAAGCCCCGAGCUCAACUCGGGAAUUGCGCUUGAGACUGUCUUUCUUAGAGUUUGGGAGAGGUAAGUGGAAUUCCCAGUGUAGCAGUGAAAUGCGUAGAUAUUGGGAAGAACACCCGUGGCGAAGGCGGCUUACUGGACCAAAACUGACGCUGAGGCGCGAAAGCGUGGGGAGCAAACAGG
rnacentral:rRNA from 1 species